AACGAACGCUGGCGGCAUGCCUAACACAUGCAAGUCGAACGAGACCUUCGGGUCUAGUGGCGCACGGGUGCGUAACGCGUGGGGAUCUGCCCUUUGCUUCGGAAUAACAGUUAGAAAUGACUGCUAAUACCGGAUGAUGUCGUAAGACCAAAGAUUUAUCGGCAAAGGAUGAACCCGCGUAGGAUUAGCUAGCUGGUGGGGUAAAGGCCUACCAAGGCGACGAUCCUUAGCUGGUCUGAGAGGAUGAUCAGCCACACUGGGACUGAGACACGGCCCAGACUCCUACGGGAGGCAGCAGUGGGGAAUAUUGGACAAUGGGCGAAAGCCUGAUCCAGCAAUGCCGCGUGAUGAUGAAGGCCUC
rnacentral:rRNA from 1 species